rnacentral:rRNA from 1 species
ACCAGACUCCUACGGGAGGCAGCAGUGGGGGAUAUUGCACAAUGGGGGGAACCCUGAUGCAGCGACGCCGCGUGGGUGAAGAAGCGCCUCGGCGCGUAAAGCCCUGUCAGCAGGGAAGAAAAUGACGGUACCUGAAGAAGAAGCCCCGGCUAACUACGUGCCAGCAGCCGCGGUAAUACGUAGGGGGCAAGCGUUAUCCGGAUUUACUGGGUGUAAAGGGGGCGCAGACGGCGAUGCAAGCCAGGAGUGAAAGCCCGGGGCCCAACCCCGGGACUGCUCUUGGAACUGCGUGGCUGGAGUGCAGGAGGGGCAGGCGGAAUUCCUGGUGUAGCGGUGAAAUGCGUAGAUAUCAGGAGGAACACCGGUGGCGAAGGCGGCCUGCUGGACUGCAACUGACGUUGAGGCCCGAAAGCGUGGGGAGCAAACAGGAUUAGAUACCCGUAUA